UAUCAUGGAACAAUACAGUCUGUAUGUCUGACCUGGGGUGAUACGGUGAACUUAAAGCAAAAGUGUAUCAUUUAACCCUAGGCCAGCAUAGGGCCAAGCUUAAGGUUACCUAUAUAAAGCAUCUUAAGAACGUUUUGUCAAUCCAGUUAAGUUCAAACGGACGGUAUUGGUGGUCGUUUGGGGGUUGCUGGUGGUAUUUUUUGCUAAGUCUUCCUACUCCAUCGUCCAUCAUUUUUAUAAAGAGAACUAUUACUUCUAGAGCUAAGAUAUACUCAUAACACUAGGAAGUGGUGAAAGGCGUUUUGGGGGUGCUGUCCUUUUGUAAUGUUGACGUGAAAAAGUUCUAAUCUAACCAGCCUACGUUCAAUAAAGGAGUUUGACUUUCACAGAGAAUCUUAGGGGUUCUAAAUCAAUCUGCGUGCUAGAUGAUCUCUUUGGAAGAACUGUUUAGUGGCCAAUUUAAAACAGAAGGUAGUGAUUAACAAAAGUGAUAGUGAAAGAAGGAGGUAGGGACUACAGAAAUACAAAGGAACAUAAAGUGAAAAGUGCCAGUGAAGUUAAAAACAAGUGAAUAAAUUAUUACAAUGUGUUACAAGUUAAAAGUGCGUCGGACUUUGUAUUGUAAUGGAUUGCAGUGUAUCAGGACGAAUGGUCAUGAAGACGGAUGAUAUUGUGCUUGAGACAGAUGGAGGAAUUUUAGAGUUGAUUUGACAUGGAUGGUUAAGACGCUGGGAAUUUGUCUUGGAGAUUGUCACCAGAACAGUAUCUGGAGACUUUGAGACCACUUUUAACACAGCGAGUCGUCGGCCCCGGGCGUCCGUGCGUAAAAUCGGAUCAUGAACGGACUACUCGAGCGCGACCAAUAGUUGAGAGCCUCUGACCGAAGCCAUGGAUUUUAGAAUUAUUUUUUCCGGGAAACUUUUACAGUUUUUAACGCUUUGAAUAAAAGCUUCGAUAUGGAUUUUUAUGAAUGGUUCUAUGUAUAGGUUUUUAGGAAUUCUUUUUUUGUACCUCUAGUUACAUUUUGCCAAUUAUUUGCAGCGCUAUGUAUAUAUAACUUUAUUCGAUACCUAUUUAAAUACUGAUGCUUUAACGGCAAGUAUUAUGUACCAAAUAAUAUUCCAUUUCAUAUGUUUGCUA